AUUGAACGCUGGCGGCAGGCCUAACACAUGCAAGUCGAACGAGUGGCGGACGGGUGAGUAAUGUCUGGGAAACUGCCUGAUGGAGGGGGAUAGCUACUGGAAACGGUAGUUAAUACCGCAUACCAGCGGAUGGGCCCAGAUGGGAUUAGCUAGUAGGUGGGGUAACGGCGCACCUAGGCGACGAUCCCUAGCUGGUCUGAUAGGCUGACCAGCCGCACUGGAACUGAGCCACGGUCCAUACUCCUACGGGAGGCACCAGUGGGGAAUAUUGCACAAUGGGCGCAAGCCUGAUGCAGCCAUGCCGCGUGUAUGAAGAAGGCCUUCGGGUUGUAAAGUACUUUCAGCGGGGAGGCGUUACCCGCAGAAGAAGCACCGGCUAACUCCGUGCCAGCAGCCGCGGUAAUAC
rnacentral:rRNA from 1 species